UACGUGAGGGGGCUAGUGUUGCUCGGAAUCACUGGGCGUAAAGGGUGCGUAGGCGGGUCUUUAAGUCAGGGGUGAAAUCCUGGAGCUCAACUCCAGAACUGCCUUUGAUACUGAAGAUCUUGAGUUCGGGAGAGGUGAGUGGAACUGCGAGUGUAGAGGUGAAAUUCGUAGAUAUUCGCAAGAACACCAGUGGCGAAGGCGGCUCACUGGCCCGAUACUGACGCUGAGGCACGAAAGCGUGGGGAGCAAACAGG
rnacentral:rRNA from 1 species